UCCGAGCAUAGAUGCAGUGCUGGUCCCUU
rnacentral:piRNA from 1 species